AGCCCAGCUUGCUGGGUGGAUUAGUGGCGAACGGGUGAGUAACACGUGAGUAACCUGCCCUUAACUCUGGGAUAAGCCUGGGAAACUGGGUCUAAUACCGGAUAGGAGCGUCCACCGCAUGGUGGGUGUUGGAAAGAUUUAUCGGUUUUGGAUGGACUCGCGGCCUAUCAGCUUGUUGGUGAGGUAAUGGCUCACCAAGGCGACGACGGGUAGCCGGCCUGAGAGGGUGACCGGCCACACUGGGACUGAGACACGGCCCAGACUCCUACGGGAGGCAGCAGUGGGGAAUAUUGCACAAUGGGCGAAAGCCUGAUGCAGCGACGCCGCGUGAGGGAUGACGGCCUUCGGGUUGUAAACCUCUUUCAGUAGGGAAGAAGCGAAAGUGACGGUACCUGCAGAAGAAGCACCGGCUAACUACGUGCCAGCAGCCGCGGUAAUACGUAGGGUGCGAGCGUUAUCCGGAAUUAUUGGGCGUAAAGAGCUCGUAGGCGGUUUGUCGCGUCUGUCGUGAAAGUCCGGGGCUUAACCCCGGAUCUGCGGUGGGUACGGGCAGACUAGAGUGCAGUAGGGGAGACUGGAAUUCCUGGUGUAGCGGUGGAAUGCGCAGAUAUCAAGGAGGAACACCGAUGGCGAAGGCAGGUCUUCUGGGCUGUAACUGACGCUGAGGAGCGAAAGCAUGGGGAGCGAACAGGAUUAGAUACCCUGGUAGUCCAUGCCGUAAACGUUGGGCACUAGGUGUGGGGACCAUUCCACGGUUUCCGCGCCGCAGCUAACGCAUUAAGUGCCCCGCCUGGGGAGUACGGCCGCAAGGCUAAAACUCAAAGGAAUUGACGGGGGCCCGCACAAGCGGCGGAGCAUGCGGAUUAAUUCGAUGCAACGCGAAGAACCUUACCAAGGCUUGACAUGUUCUCGAUCGCCGUAGAGAUACGGUUUCCCCUUUGGGGCGGGUUCACAGGUGGUGCAUGGUUGUUGUCAGCUCGUGUCGUGAGAUGUUGGGUUAAGUCCCGCAACGAGCGCAACCCUCGUUCCAUGUUGCCAGCACGUAAUGGUGGGGACUCAUGGGAGACUGCCGGGGUCAACUCGGAGGAAGGUGAGGACGACGUCAAAUCAUCAUGCCCCUUAUGUCUUGGGCUUCACGCAUGCUACAAUGGCCGGUACAAUGGGUUGCGAUACUGUGAGGUGGAGCUAAUCCCAAAAAGCCGGUCUCAGUUCGGAUUGGGGUCUGCAACUCGACCCCAUGAAGUCGGAGUCGCUAGUAAUCGCAGAUCAGCAACGCUGCGGUGAAUACGUUCCCGGGCCUUGUACACACCGCCCGUCAAGUCACGAAAGUUGGUAACACCCGAAGCCGGUGGCCUAACCCUUGUG
rnacentral:rRNA from 1 species